GACGAACGCUGGCGGCGUGCUUAACACAUGCAAGUCGUACGGUAAGGCCCUUUCGGGGGUACACGAGUGGCGAACGGGUGAGUAACACGUGAGUAACCUGCCCACAACUUUGGGAUAACGCUAGGAAACUGGUGCUAAUACUGGAUAUGUGCUCCUGCUGCAUGGUGGGGGUUGGAAAGCUCCGGCGGUUGUGGAUGGACUCGCGGCCUAUCAGCUUGUUGGUGGGGUAGUGGCCUACCAAGGCGGCGACGGGUAGCCGGCCUGAGAGGGUGACCGGCCACAUUGGGACUGAGAUAAGGCACAGACUCCUACGGGAGGCAGCAGUGGGGAAUAUUGCACAAUGGGCGCAAGCCUGAUGAAGAAACGCCGCGGGCGGGAUGACGGCCUUCGGGUUGUAAACCGCUUUCAGCAGGGACGAAGCUUUUUGUGACGGUACCUGCAGAAGAAGCACCGGCUAACUACGUG
rnacentral:rRNA from 1 species